CGGGUGAGUAACACGUGGAUAACCUACCUAUAAGACUGGGAUAACUUCGGGAAACCGGAGCUAAUACCGGAUAAUAUAUUGAACCGCAUGGUUCAAUAGUGAAAGACGGUUUUGCUGUCACUUAUAGAUGGAUCCGCGCCGCAUUAGCUAGUUGGUAAGGUAACGGCUUACCAAGGCAGCGAUGCGUAGCCGACCUGAGAGGGUGAUCGGCCACACUGGAACUGAGACACGGUCCAGACUCCUACGGGAGGCAGCAGAC
rnacentral:rRNA from 1 species